ensembl:lncRNA
CGGGCACACACAUAUGACUGAUUGGCUGUGUGAAUGUGGGUUAUAUUUGAGCGUGUGGGUGUUUAGCUGGAACAUUCACAGCUCCUCUAAGCACACGGCAAGCUUUCUAAUACUUCAAUAAUUUAUUCGCCGGACCAGCAGCUAUCCAGCGCUAUAAGAAAUUUACAUAUUUCUCUCUCACAUAUUUGACAUGCACAAGCGAAUAUACACAUUUAAGUGCAUAUACUGUAAAUAUGAAAUGUAUACAGUAAUGGCGAUGUUGUGUGAAUCACCGAUCUUUAUCAUGUAGACUCUGGAAAGGUGCCAUCUUUUGCUGCAUGCUAUAAAAGGAAACACACGCUGAAUUCCCUCUGUGCCGAGUAAACAUCUUUCCCAACAGCCUGAUUACAUGUAAGGUCAAGGGCACUUUAAUCCAAAUGUAUUUUCCGAAAUCCAGACACAAACAAGCAGCUACGCACAUGGAUCUGGAGGUCUGCCACCUCUGUGCAAUUAUUAGGGGAGUUCAGAGGAUCUAUCGCUGCAGUGCAUCAGGGGGACAUCAUCUGGGAGACAACCAGGAACAGUGUAUCUGUUUUUGUGAUGAUGAGGGUAUGCUAAGGUCUGUCCUGUUAAUUGGGCCUUGCGGAGAGGGAGACACCCAUAGGAAUUGAGUCCUAACAGUCAAAAAUGGUGUGAAAAUGCAAGUAAAUUUCAUUUUAAGAACAUGCAGCUUUUUUUUUUUUUUUUUUUUACUUUCAACAAAAUUCCCUUAGCUAAAAAGGGAAUUUCUUACUGACAAAGCCCAGCAUGUGCUCUUCUAUGGAUGAAACAACAUUAUUUAUAAGUCUCUUUUAUUAUUCCACUCUGUCUCUUAUCUUCAGAUGUAAACACAAUGAGAUACCCACAGUGGUAAAGGAAUGAUUUGGCCUGAAGCACCACCUCAGCUUUUAGAGGUACAUUUAAAAACCUUCUUUUUUGGGGUGGUAUAGUUCUCCUCUUCUGCAUUGUAUGCUAUUUAUAGAGCUCUGAAACGGCAGCAAUAAAUGGGUCAUGGUGAGACGGCA